rnacentral:lncRNA from 1 species
GUUGGUUCCGGCGCUCCGACUUCCAUGGCUGCUCCUUCCUCCACCCGUUUUGGACAUCCUUUUACCUUCCUCCAGCUCCCCUUUCCCUCCUCUCUUAUCAAAAUCCAUCAGUUUGUGAUACCCCGGCCUCUCCACGGUUACGCCGCUGCCAUACAAAUCCCAGAGCUGCUGAAAGUCGAGGUCGGAGGGGGGGGGGAAGGAGAACAGAAGCGGGGCCGCCCCGGCUCAGUGCAGCAUCCCGGUGUGCGGCGCUGGGACGAGCCGGGCUACUGCAGUGUCGCUGCUUCCCGAGGCGCUGCCGGGGCGGUCAUCGUCGCCGCUCACGAGGAGAUCUUUGGUGGAGAGAACAUCCUGCACGGCGUCCUCCCAGCGCCCGGAGAGCUCGGCGGGCCCUCAGCGCCGGGCCCCGCAGCCGCUGCCCCGCGGCCUGCCCAUGGCGGCGCCCCCGGCCCGGCUCUCCUCACGCCGCCUCUCGCCUCCCCUCACCACUC